AGCCUAUUAGUUCAAUUGGUCGAGCACUCUGUGAGCACAGAGGAUGUAGGUUCGAAUCCUACAUAGGCUA
rnacentral:tRNA from 1 species